rnacentral:misc_RNA from 1 species
CGAAAUGCGAUAAGUAAUGUGAAUUGCAGAAUUCAGUGAAUCAUCGAAUCUUUGAACGCACAUUGCGCCCGCCAGUAUUCUGGCGGGCAUGCCAGUCCGAGCGUCAUUUCAACCAUCAAGCCCCCGGGCUUGUGUUGGGGACCUGCUGCUGCCCGCAGGCCCUGAAAACCAGUGGCGGGCUCACUGUCACACCGAGCGUAGUAGCAAUCACCUCGCUCAGGGCGUGCUGCGGGUUCCGGCCGUUAAACAGCCUUACAAAACCCAAGGUUGACCUCGGAUCAGGUAGGAAGACCCGCUGAACUUAAGC